AAAUUGAAGAGUUUGAUCAUGGCUCAGAUUGAACGCUGGCGGCAGGCCUAACACAUGCAAGUCGAACGGUAACAGGAAACAGCUUGCUGUUUCGCUGACGAGUGGCGGACGGGUGAGUAAUGUCUGGGAAACUGCCCGAUGGAGGGGGAUAACUACUGGAAACGGUAGCUAAUACCGCAUAACGUCGCAAGACCAAAGAGGGGGACCUUCGGGCCUCUUGCUAUAGGAUGUGCCCAGAUGGGAUUAGCUAGUAGGUGGGGUAACGGCUCACCUAGGCGACGAUCCCUAGCUGGUCUGAGAGGAUGACCAGCCACACUGGAACUGAGACACGGUCCAGACUCCUACGGGAGGCAGCAGUGGGGAAUAUUGCACAAUGGGCGCAAGCCUGAUGCAGCCAUGCCGCGUGUAUGAAGAAGGCCUUCGGGUUGUAAAGUACUUUCAGCGGGGAGGAAGGGAGUAAAGUUAAUACCUUU
rnacentral:rRNA from 1 species